ACGGUUAAAUCACGAUGAAAACACCAGUUCUCGUUUGAUCACCGAAGUCAAGCAUCGUAGAGCCAGGUCAGUACUUAGUU